rnacentral:rRNA from 1 species
AGUGAACGCUGGCGGUAGGCCUAACACAUGCAAGUCGAACGGCAGCACAGUAAGAGCUUGCUCUUACGGGUGGCGAGUGGCGGACGGGUGAGGAAUACAUCGGAAUCUACUUUUUCGUGGGGGAUAACGUAGGGAAACUUACGCUAAUACCGCAUACGACCUACGGGUGAAAGCAGGGGAUCUUCGGACCUUGCGCGAUUGAAUGAGCCGAUGUCGGAUUAGCUAGUUGGCGGGGUAAAGGCCCACCAAGGCGACGAUCCGGAGCUGGUCUGAGAGGAUGAUCAGCCACCAUGGAACUGAGACACGGUCCAGACUCCUACGGGAGGCAGCAGUGGGGAAUAUUGGACAAUGGGCGCAAGCCUGAUCCAGCCAUACCGCGUGGGUGAAGAAGGCCUUCGGGUUGUAAAGCCCUUUUGUUGGGAAAGAAAAGCAGCAGGUUAAUACCCCGCUGUUCUGACGGUACCCAAAGAAUAAGCACCGGCUAACUUCGUG